GCUUACGGCCAUAUCAGCCUGGGUACGCCCGAUCUCGUCUGAUCUCGGAAGCUAAGCAGGGGUCGGGCCUGGUUAGUACUUGGAUGGGAGACCGCCUGGGAAUACCAGGUGCUGUAAGCA
rnacentral:rRNA from 1 species